UGUUCUGGCCCAGAAUGGUAAUUCCUAUGAAUAUCCUUUUUGCUCUGAUACCAGAAACACUAUGCUUGUCUGGUCAGUUUCACAUUCCUUUCCCAGCAGUGACAGUUGUUAACUUUCAAAAAUAUAAGUGAAACUUCAUGGCAUGAGCAGGUGUAAUCAGAUUCUCCUGCUCUGGAGCACAGGAAAGUCAAAGUUCUCCUGCAAUUUUGUGUCGUACUUAAAGUCAUAACUGCAAACCAUUUCAAGUACUUUUUUUAGUCAUAACGAAGUGACUGCAGACUCUGCAGAAAAGGCCAAUCUAUUAAGCAGAGGGUAACACCUUAGAACCCAAUAGGUUUUCAUUGCUUGUUCACAGAAUUAAAUAAAAUAAAGCGCAUAUCUACACAAUUCCAGAAAGUUAAAAUUGUGACAUUCUACAACAAAUCCUAAUACUCAUUUAUAUCCUGAUGUCUUAUGAAAUGUUAGCAUUAAGAAUGAAAAAUCAUUUACCAUAAACAGUCAAAUAAAACAGUGUGUUUAUUGCUUCCUUCUUGAUGCCUUGAAAUACACCAAGUUUCUGAAACAGGAGAGGAGACUGCAGUAUUGAAAUUCCAUGUAAACUUAAUGUUAUUCCAGGGGAAAUAAAAUAAAUUGAAGUGACCUGUAAAGUUUCCUCAAACCAUUUUCUGCCUUUUCCUAGUUCAGGUAAGCUAUUUCGGGUCCUCUAGCUUGUGCCUUGGAGGGGCUCUUAGUUUAAAGAGAUUAAUGAUUAAGUCUGUACUGAUAAAUCAUUUACGCAGGGAGUGUGGGCUACUCCAGAACGUGAAGGACUGAAAUGUUUUCAUCUGAUGACAAUACUUGAGGCAUCAUUGUCGACAUAGGAACAGAUUCAGACUUGGAGCUUGUCUACGUGCACAUGGCACUGGUAUAACUAAAGGCGCAAUGCUGCACUAACAGGUGAAACAUGGAGUCCAAAGUUGAGUUUUUCACAGGUCUGCAGAUGCCGUGACGGAAACAAAGAGGCAGCUCCAUUUCAGAAGCUAGAUCUCUGUGGACUACCAGUAAGCAUUGCCCAGACAAGUUUGAGAAACUGUAGACUAGAAUGUGUGGUGCACCAACAACUUCUUCACCUACUUCAGCACUAGUGCAUUGCUUAAGAGAGGUUUCAGAUCUCUAUUACUUACAACGUAAGUAAGCUGAGGGGAAGUAAGUUGCCAUUUUUAUUCACUGUGAUGCUAGCACUGUUUACUUCAAGUCCUUUUAUUUUUCAAUUUAGACUGCAGCACCAGCAUGAGAUUAAAAGUCUCAGAAACCAAUUUCUUAUUCAAUGGCUGCAGAAACUGAGAAUUGAUUUUAUCCAGCAGACUCAACCAGCCAAAGAGAGUAGCAAAUCCCAGCUCUGACACACACACAUUCACACUCUGUUCAUUGUAGUUACCAAUAAUGGGAUGUUGGGAAUGGAUGUGGGGGUGGAAGGAAAAGUUGGUUAUGUCUGAUGUUUUAUUGAUUAAACUCAGCUCCCUCCCAGUCUGACCCUCUGAACAAAUGAGAUGCAGACACUGCCCUGGGCUGGGCCAUGGGGAGGGAGAGGGCCUAGUGCCAAGGCACAUCCCAGCCUCCCCCCACAACAAGGGAAGCAAUAGGAGAGCCCUGGCCAGCGACCAGGGAAGAGGACUCCAGAGGAGGAGAAACUUGUGUUGUGGGGGCAAGCUGAGAAUCCCCCAGAACGGAGACCAAAAGCAAGUGAGGAAAAGAAAGAGCAGGGAGAGAUGGGGGUGCCAGAGUGGGGGAGCAGGAACAGAAGGCAAGAUAAGGAGACGACACAGGGAGGACAGCAAGGCAGGGGCAGAUAGGGUUGGGGCAGCAGAGUAAGGUGGAGGCAGAGCACAGCAGGGAAAGGACAAGAGAAGGGGUUGGGGCAGCAGAACAAGGGGGACCGGGGGAGAAGGAACCAAGAAUGGGGAUUGGGGAAAGCAGGAGACACGAGGGGUGGUUGAGGGAGCAGAGCAAAGGGGGGGUAGAGCACACCAGGGAGGGAACAAGA